rnacentral:rRNA from 1 species
CUGGCGGCGUGCUUAACACAUGCAAGUCGAACGAGGAUGUUGACUUCGGUUGACAUUCGAGUGGCGGACGGGUGAGUAACGCGUGAGCAAUCUGUCCUACAGAGGGGGAUAACAACUGGAAACGACUGCUAAUACCGCAUAAGCGCACAGUACUGCAUGGUACAGUGUGAAAAACUCCGGCGGUAUACGAUGGACCCGCGUCUGAUUAGCUAGUUGGUGAGGUAACGGCCCACCAAGGCGACGAUCAGUAGCCGGCCUGAGAGGGUGAACGGCCACAUUGGGACUGAGACACGGCCCAAACUCCUACGGGAGGCAGCAGUGGGGAAUAUUGCACAAUGGGGGAAACCCUGAUGCAGCGACGCCGCGUGAGUGAAGAAGUAUUUCGGUAUGUAAAGCUCUAUCAGCAGGGAAGAAAAUGACGGUACCUGACUAAGAAGCCCCGGCUAACUACGUG